rnacentral:rRNA from 1 species
UACGGAGGGUGCAAACGUUGCUCGGAAUUAUUGGGCGUAAAGCGCGCGCAGGCGGUCCGUUAUGUCGGGUGUGAAAGCCCUCGGCUUAACCGAGGAAGUGCAUUCGAAACUGGCGGACUUGAGUACGGGAGAGGGUAGCGGAAUUCCCGGUGUAGAGGUGAAAUUCGUAGAUAUCGGGAGGAACACCAGUGGCGAAGGCGGCUACCUGGACCGAUACUGACGCUGAGGCGCGAAAGCGUGGGGAG